AUGCACAGCCAUGUCACCCUGCAGCCCAAGACCGGUUACUCACUGAAGCUAAGCAGGGCUGAGCCUGGUCAGUACCUGGAUGGGAGACCACUAGGGAACACUAGGUUGCUGUUAAAA
rnacentral:rRNA from 1 species